UACGAAGGGGGCGAGCGUUGUUCGGAUUUACUGGGCGUAAAGGGCGCGCAGGCGGCUCAUUUUGUCAGGCGUGAAAGCCCCGGGCUUAACCUGGGAACUGCGUUUGAGACGGAUGGGCUAGAGUUCGGGAGAGGAGAGUGGAAUUCCCAGUGUAGCGGUGAAAUGCGCAGAUAUCGGGAAGAACACCCGUGGCGAAGGCGGCUCUCUGGGACGGUACUGACGCUGAGACGCGAAAGCGUGGGGAGCGAACAGG
rnacentral:rRNA from 1 species